rnacentral:rRNA from 1 species
AUACGGAGGAUCCGAGCGUUAUCCGGAUUUAUUGGGUUUAAAGGGUGCGUAGGCGGCCUUGUAAGUCAGCGGUGAAAUUUUGCAGCUUAACUGUAAAAGUGCCGUUGAUACUGUGAGGCUAGGAUUUGGUUGCUGUGGGUGGAAUGUGUGGUGUAGCGGUGAAAUGCUUAGAGAUCACACAGAAUAUCGAUUGCGAAGGCAGCUCACAAAGCCAAGAUUGACGCUGAGGCACGAAAGUGUGGGGAUCAAACAGGAUUAGAUACCCUGGUAGUCCACACUGUAAACGAUGAUAACUCGCUGUCGGCGAUAUACAGUCGGCGGCCAAGCGAAAGCGAUAAGUUAUCCACCUGGGGAGUACGGUCGCAAGGCUGAAACUCAAAUGAAUUGGCGGGG